rnacentral:rRNA from 1 species
CCUACGAGGGGCAGCAGUGGGGAAUAUUGCACAAUGGGGGAAACCCUGAUGCAGCAACGCCGCGUGAGUGAGGAAGUAUUUCGGUAUGUAAAGCUCUAUCAGCAGGGAAUAGAAAAGAAGGUACCUGAUAAAGAAGCUUCGGCUAACUACGUGCCAGCAGUCGCGGUAAUACGUAGGGGGCAAGCGUUAGCCGGAUUUACUGGGUGUAAAGGGAGCGUAGACGGGAAGGCAAGUCAGAAGUGAAAGCCCAAGGCUCAACCAUGGGACUGCAUUUGAAACUGUCAAACUAGAGUACGGGAGAGGUGAGAGGAAUUCCUAGUGUAGCGGUGAAAUGCGUAGAUAUAAGGAGGAACACCAGUGGCGAAGGCGUCUUACUGGACCGAAACUGACGUUGAGGCUCGAAAGCGUGGGGAGCAAACAGGAUUAGAUACCCUGGUAGUC